rnacentral:rRNA from 1 species
UGGGGAAUAUUGCACAAUGGGCGCAAGCCUGAUGCAGCCAUGCCGCGUGUGUGAAGAAGGCCUUCGGGUUGUAAAGCACUUUCAGCGGGGAGGAAGGCGUUAAGGUUAAUAACCUUGGCGAUUGACGUUACCCGCAGAAGAAGCACCGGCUAACUCCGUGCCAGCAGCCGCGGUAAUACGGAGGGUGCAAGCGUUAAUCGGAAUUACUGGGCGUAAAGCGCACGCAGGCGGUGUGUCAAGUCGGAUGUGAAAUCCCCGGGCUCAACCUGGGAACUGCAUUCGAAACUGGCAGGAUAGAGUCUUGUAGAGGGGGGUGGAAUUCCAGGUGGAGCGGUGAAAUGCGUAGAGAUCUGGAGGAAUACCGGUGGCGAAGGCGGCCCCCUAGACAAAGACUGACGCUCAGGUGCGAAAGCGUGGGGAGCAAACAGG